rnacentral:rRNA from 1 species
UUCCUUAGCCAUGCCACCCUAGCUGUGCCAGCUCUUGUCUGAGCUUAGAAGUUGAGCAGGGCAAGGUCUGGAUAUUACAUGGACGUGAGGCCACCUGGGAAUACCCAGCCACUGGGGUUG